rnacentral:rRNA from 1 species
ACCCCAGGUCAGGCGGGACUACCCGCUGAAUUUAAGCAUAUCAAUAAGCGGAGGAA